rnacentral:tRNA from 1 species
ACCUGGCUGGCUUAUUUGGUGGAGCAUGGGACUCCUGAUCCCGGGGUUGUGGGUUUAAGUUCCAUAUUGGGUG